AGCGAACGCUGGCGGCAGGCUUAACACAUGCAAGUCGAGCGGGCAUCUUCGGAUGUCAGCGGCAGACGGGUGAGUAACACGUGGGAACGUACCCUUCGGUUCGGAACAACUCUGGGAAACUGGAGCUAAUACCGGAUACGCCCUUAUGGGGAAAGGUUUACUGCCGAAGGAUCGGCCCGCGUCUGAUUAGCUAGUUGGUGGGGUAACGGCCUACCAAGGCGACGAUCAGGAGCUGGUCUGAGAGGAUGAUCAGCCACACUGGGACUGAGACACGGCCCAGACUCCUACGGGAGGCAGCAGUGGGGAAUAUUGGACAAUGGGCGCAAGCCUGAUCCAGCCAUGCCGCGUGAGUGAUGAAGGCCUUAGGGUUGUAAAGCUCUUUUGUCCGGGACGAUAAUGACGGUACCGGAAGAAUAAGCCCCGGCUAACUUCGUG
rnacentral:rRNA from 1 species